AUACUUUUUUAUUUUAUUUUUCCUUCCCAUCGAUCUCGCCAAUGGCCAACACUAAUCUCCCUCGAAGAAUCAUUAAGGAAACUCAGCGUCUCCUCAGUGAACCAACGCCUGGAAUUAGUGCCUCACCAUCAGAGGAUAAUAUGUGAUAUUUCAAUGUGAUGAUCCUUGGUCUAACACAAUCUCCA